UCCAAAAUGGUGUAAUGGUUAGCAUAGCUGGCUUUCACACCAGCAGUUCCGGGUUCGAUUCCCGGUAUCGGAA
rnacentral:tRNA from 1 species